rnacentral:rRNA from 1 species
CCUACGGGAGGCAGCAGUGGGAAUCUUGCGCAAUGGGCGAAAGCCUGACGCAGCAACGCCGCGUGCGGGAUGAAGGCCUUCGGGCUGUAAACCGCUUUCAGCAGGAACGAAAAUGACGGUACCUGCAGAAGAAGGAGCGGCCAACUACGUGCCAGCAGCCGCGGUGACACGUAGGCUCCAAGCGUUGUCCGGAUUUAUUGGGCGUAAAGAGCUCGUAGGCGGUCUAAUAAGUCGGGUGUGAAAAACUCUGGGCUCAAACCCCCGAGGAAGCCG